AUUGAACGCUGGCGGCAUGCUUUACACAUGCAAGUCGAACGGGUGCGGGGGGCAACCUCUGCAUUAGUGGCGAACGGGUGAGUAAUGCAUCGGAACGUACCGUGUAGUGGGGGAUAACGAGUCGAAAGAUUCGCUAAUACCGCAUACGUCCUGAGGGGGAAAGCGGGGGACCCGAGAGGGCCUCGUGCUAUACGAGCGGCCGAUGUCCGAUUAGCUAGUUGGUGGGGUAAAGGCCUACCAAGGCGACGAUCGGUAGCGGGUCUGAGAGGACGGCCCGCCACACUGUGACUGAGACACGGCCCAGACUCCUACGGGAGGCAGCAGUGGGGAAUGUUGGACAAUGGGCGCAAGCCUGAUCCAGCCAUGCCGCGUGCGGGAUGAAGGCCUUCGGGUUGUAAACCGCUUUUGUCAGGGAAGAAACGCUCUGGGUUAAUAACUUGGGGUAAUGACGGUACCUGAAGAAUAAGCACCGGCUAACUACGUGCCAGCAGCCGCAGUAAAAC
rnacentral:rRNA from 1 species